UUAUGCAACCAUGUCUGUGAAAGAAUACAUUGAGGAAUCGAACCUUUUUAUACUGCAGUUAGGCACGAAUGGUUCAGCUUAGAUGUUGAUUUGUGAACAAUAUAAAAAUGGGAAUCUUCACUUUCAGCUAUCAAAUUGGAUGGGCAUAGUUUUUGGGUUUCGUCAAGUUGCAGUCAAAAGUGGAUCCUUUUACUUUGGUUGCUCGUUGUGGCUCCUCAGAAUGAAAGAAAUAAUCAAGAUACCCAUUUACAUCACAUCAAGUGGUGCCUCCUCUUGAUUGGGAGCAAUAUGUGUCUAGAAUAGCAAAAUAUACUCACAUAACAAGACCGUAAAAGGUUCUCCUCCUCUUUGUCUCAUGCUGCAUCUCAUGCACAACAUUUGGCAUCAGGUAACUAGCAGUCACGAUGAUUUUUGAAGCACUCAAACUGAUUCCAGUGACCACGACGCGUUAGAGAGCACGAUGGGCAAGGUCGAGGAGUGGCAUCAGGGGAUUAGGAGCCUCGGUGAUUUUUGAAGCACUUAUAAUGAUUCCGGUGAUUAGACAUGAAAACUGAGAGUGCCUUAACAGCAACGAUGGCUGCGGAGGAGUGCAAAAGCAUGGGCCAUCAAGCUUAAGCACACGGUCGGACGGUGACCUAUGCACGGACAAGCAUCCCGCGGUGACUAGCCUGUACAAAACAGGAAAGAGGGAAGGGAAUGAGGAAGAAGAUGGGACAAUUUGAUCUAGAAAUUGUGAUAAAUGCAUUCAAGUGGUAUAUUUUGGAACAUAAAUGACAUAUUUUCCCAUUGCAACACAAAUGUUGGCCACUUUCAUAAAAUUGUACACAUAUUCCACAUAUUUUUGAGAAUACAGAGGGAUUUAUGCUCAAAGCAGAAUAGCAAUGCCCUGUUUUGCU